UGCAUCCAGUUCUGGGCUCCUCACUCAAGAAAGACAGGGAUCUUCUUGAGAGAGUCCAGUGGAAGGCCAGAAAGAGUAUUAGGGGCCUGGAGCAUCUCCCUUAUGAAGAAAGGCUGAGAGACUAUUCCGUCUGGAGAAGACUGAGAGGGAUCUCAUCACUGUUGAUAAAUAUCUAAAGGGCAGGAGUCAAGUGGAUGUGGCCAGUCUCCUUCAGCAGAGCCCAGUGACAGGACAACAGAAAUAGGCACAAACUGGAACACAGGAAGUUCCAUACGUACAUGAGGAAGAACUUCUUUAUUGUGAGGGUGGCAGAGCAUUGGAGCAGGCUGCCCAGAGAUGUUGUGGAGUCUCCUUCUCUGGAGAUAUUCAAAACCGACCUGGACACUUUCCUGUGUGACCUGCUGCAGGGAACUCCUUUAGCAGAAGAGGUUGGACUCGAUGAUUUCUAGAGGUCCUUUCCAACUCCUACAACUCUGUGAUUUUGUGAUUCUGUUAUUGUUUAAAGUGACCCUAUUAAACAAGUGGAUUCCAUAUACAAGAAAACUCAUUCACGGUGGAUGAUGGCUUCUCCCAGCAUGUUUUUCUGGUAGCAUGGUAACAGUCCAAAAUCAGCUAUGUGGUUAAUUACCACCUUCAUGCUUCUAUCCUGUCUCUUGGUGCUGGGGAAAGAGAAAAAGAGAAAAAUAAAAGGAGGAUCUGGAAUAGAAACGCAAAGCAUCAAAUGGCCGUUAAUGAAUUAUUCAAUAAUUUAAAAAUAUCAGCUGAAAUGAAGAAAGACUAUGAGAGGACAGCCUUGUAAUAUGCUAUAUGACUAGACAGAAUGCCAAUAGGCAUGUAUUUGUAAUUGAUGAGGCAACACAACAGUAAAGAGAACAAAGCAAUUCAAGCCUCUUGUUGAGACUGAUUUUGCAAUAGAGAGUCAUAGAAUCAUACAAUGUCUUGGCUUGGAAGGGACCUUAAUGAUGAUCUAGUUUCAGCCCCCCUGUGAGUUGCCACCUGCUAGAUCAGAGAAAGUAUAUUUUUGUACCCAAGAAGUUCAAGAACAGAAAAGAUCACUGAGCUUUAAAUACCCUCAGGGAGUAAUGGACAAGUGAUACUAACUUAGCCAGUUGUGAAGUCUAGGUUACGGUGAACCACAUCUGCCCUCCUCAACAUUGCUCUGCUGCUAGAAAGCACUCUGCACAUCUGUAAUGUCCAACUAAGACUGUGUGGUUAUAAAACUGUUCUGUUGCCAUUUCUUCUCCUAAUAAGUUAGUGGACUUGUAAUCAUUGUUACUUUUUGCCACAGGAAAAGUUGCAGCAGAAACAGCAACACCAGAAUUUAUGGCUACAAUCUGCUAUCAGGCACAGUAUUUUCCCAGCUUCCACGAUACAGAUUUCAUUUGAGGCAAGAAGAGCAGAGAUUCUUGAGUAUCAGUAUGGUAUAUUCACAAUUAUCACACCAUGAAUAAAUGGUGACAUAGAUCUCAGUGUAUGUGCUCUAUUAAUGUAUGUAUAUGAGUACCAAGGAGGCCUGAGACAUAGAACCACUUUGUCAGCAGUGGAAGACCAACACUUCAUCUCCCCCUCCCACAAAUCACUGCAGCUUUUGUUUGCUGUAUUUUGUUCCCUCUUCCAUCACCAGGUUGAAGGUGAGGUUUGUUGACACUUCAGUGUGUGGAGAAGAGAACACAAAUGCAGUGCAAACUGUCAGGCUGCAGUUUCAUUUCCCUGUCUUAUUUUUCUCUUUCAGAAAAGUCUGAAAACAUCACCACACCUUCAUCAAAAAGAAAGCGUAAGAGAACUCCAUCAGCACCACAGAGACAAGAGAGCCGGGUCAGAAGGCUAUCAGCUCUUCCAUCCCACGCUGAUGGGACAACUCCAGAUACAGAUGAAAGCUCCUCACUUUACUGUUCCAUGUCUAGCCCACCUCAGCUCUUGCCUGUCAACAAGAUUUAUGACAGUGUUCCUCAACGUAAUGCUCAGGAGACAGCAUCUAACUCACCUUCUAAUGAUCCUUCCAUCCCAGCUUCACCUGAAAGCCAAGAUGUCCUCAUAUAUGCCUCACUAAACCAUUCUGCUUCUACAAAUAAAUACCAGAGAAGGAAGUUCUCUAUAGAAAAUGAAUUUAUAGAAUAUGCCUCUAUUAAGGUAAAUAAAUAAAUACGGCAGACUUCACCAAACAGCCAUUUUGUGUGUAUUCUCAGGUUUAUCUUCCAUCCAGAAUACCUUUCCUUUCUCUCCCGGGAAAGCUUUCCUUUUGUUUAGAAGAACCUGUGGAUGCUCCCCCACUACAGACAGGAAUUCAAAACACAGCCUGUGUCAUGCAGAUGGGUGGGUAAUUGCACUGGAUAUUCGUCUCUUAAAUGGAGGAAUAAAAGGAAACACAGACAGCUUUCCUGUUCUUCCUCUGCCCAGGAUUCUGCUUCCAGUCUGACCUUUUGUUGUGGUUUAAACAGAGGCAAAGGGGAGGAGAAGGGAGGGCAUUCUCAGGUCAUAAACAUAUAAAAGGAAUCCAUGAGGAAGACGAUACUGAGCCAAAUUAAUUCCUCCAAAGUAUAAAUAUGCUAAAUAUAAACAUACUAAAUAUGCCCGGGGGAGAAAUUUUCUCUGAGGUUCUAAGAACACCCUUACCAGGAUUCUGUUUCUCAUUCCAGUUCAUCUCCUUGCAGAGUUCCUUGAACACCAUGAACGCACAAUCCUUGUAUUAACUAAAAUCAUGUAAAUACUUUCAUUUGUUUGCUUCUUGUGGGGAACAGGCAAGAAAAUGGAAAAGGUUGUUUUCCUUUUAUUAAGAAGUCACACAAAUAACGUGUGAGAGUGUUCUCUUUUUUCCUCCUGGUGUGAUGACCGGUUAGCUAAGUUAAUGCAUAUUCCUUUUGUCCAUGAUGAGUCCAUGGAAAUAACAAAUGCUGAGCAGUGACUGAUCACAGACUGAAUAAAAACAUUCUGUUCAUGAGUAGCUGUGCACAACUGCGCCAGGCCAAGCUUUCCUCCCAACACUAGCACAAGAACAUGAUUAUGCUUCGUGCUCAGGUUUGUGGAAAAGAAGAUAAAAAGGAGGUAAGGACCAAAGUGUCAUUUGAACUUUGAGGAGAAUGCCUGUGCCCUUCUUCUGCUGCACUUAUUUCAUUAUAGUUUGGAUACUAUGCAUCUGCUCCUGCAGCGCAGUUGUCUGAAAAAUUACAUUUAGCAAUGUCUGCACCAAGAGGUUUGCAGAAGCAGAGAGUCU
ensembl:lncRNA